CUCAGGGUUUAAGAGACAGAGGCAAUAUUGCCUCAGCUGGCUAAUUGGCAGACCAUUAACAGCUGGGGUAAGAGCCUGUAGGCUAGGAGGAAGGGGGUUGUCUGAGGGAACCUGAGGAGGACUCUUUAACUACACACUGGCCAGAAAGCAGCUAAAUUCUCCAGGGACAAAGCAUUGGGAUGAGGAAUUGUGAAAAAGGGGCUGGAGGCAGAUGAAGGUGGGAAGUGGCCCAAGGAAGCAGCCAGGAGUCUGAGGAAAUACGUCUUAGCUGCUUAAUAGUGAGUCCCUGGGCUGCAAUGCAGAGGGCCUGGGUUGUCCUCUAUCUGCUACCAGGAAAAGGGCCCUCCUGAGGCAAGGACUCCUGAGCCCAGAGUAGGGCUGGAGACCUGGCAUAAGGUUGCUGGACUUUUUUGUUUAUUGGCUUCUCUGCUAUUCUGGGAGACUAUAAGCGACCUCGCUGGAGAGUCACAUUGUGAGAAGGGGCAAACCAAUGCACCCUCGGAGGGGCUGUCAACAGGAGGUGCCAGAGUUGGAGAAGCUGCUGCAGCAUCGCUGGCCAUGUGGAGGUGCACUGGGUGAAUGAAACAAAAAUUAUUUCAAAAUGUUACGCACCAUGUUUCGGCCAACUCUACUUUGAAUAUCGGAGAGGAGCCUAAAUGCUGGGGGUAGACUUGAUCCCGUAUCUUUCUGACGCUAAGGCCCAGUUCUUCUGCAAUGAAGUCGAUUUUGCUGUUAACUACAAUAGGAGCAAGAUUGGACCUUUGGACUGGACAUUUUAUAGAGAACUGUUGUCGGGCACAUGCCCAGAUCAGCACCGGAAAGGAGAUUAAUUCCAUCCAUCAGUGGAGCAGACUAAAUGGCUUUAACCAGCAUAUCCGACUGUGAGUUGUACCUAUUACCGACGUGUACAGAGUGCUUUGCAGAAGCAGCGAUUUCUGCAUUUUCUCCUGCUGUUGAAGUACCAAAAUAAAAUUGCUCCCAGUUCUAAAAAUAAUGAUUUGUACACGGUUUAUCCUGGUGUCUGGGCCUGAGCCAAGCAUUGUUGUUGUUUUAAUAAUUAUUCUGUUCUCUAUCUGC